GCAUUCCAGGUUGCAAAGCAUGAAUUAGAAACUACUAACAUCAAUUAUAAAAGAAUAAUAUAUAAUAUAUAUAUAUAUAAAUUAAUAAUAUAUAAUUUCGGUUUGGUAUGGGAUUCCCGAAAUAUUGAGAAGUCAAUCCCAAAUCCCAUACCAAAAUUUCGGGAUCGGUUCGGAAUAGCAUCCCGAAAAUUUCGGGAAUUUCGGUUUGGGAAAUUUUUGGUUUGGGAUCGGGAUUUUUUCGGUUCGGUUUGGGAUUUUCGGGAAUUUUUUCCACCCCUAGUUGUUAGUGCUGCCGGAGCGAAUGGAAGAGUUGUAGUGGAGGCACUUUUAGGGUUUUCGGAAGAAUCAAGAGAUUAUGAGGACCUGGGCAUAUCAACGCCGCCGUCGUACAGCUACAUCUAGGUGCGUUGGUCGAGCUGGGACGAGUGGCUUGAAUCUCUCUUUUCGAAUUCACCUGAUUCUGGCCUCCGCUUUGAGAAGACAUGGAGAAGCAGAUGAUGUCUUCCUGUUGCGGUUGAAGUUACCGAAACGAUUGUCGAAUUCAGCAAAAAGAUCCUCAGUUUAGAUUUGACAUGAUUUAGAUAAUUGUAAAAUGAAUCAAUCAAGUGAUAAUUCGCUUCCAGAGGAAAUGUUGGCCAUGUUAUAUUGUAUGGCAAUCAUAA